rnacentral:lncRNA from 1 species
UAAUAUGAAAAAAUAAUUUUUAGUGGGAAGGACACUAACAUUGAUGAUUAUAAGAGACAAUAACAUUCUGAAAGAUAAAAGGAGAGACCCCCCUGACUUCGUCGUCUUCUUCAUCUUACCUCCCCUGCCGUUCUUCUUCUUCAGAAUAUCAACCUUCAAACAACCAGCCCCUCAAACCAGCGAGCUCUUCAUCUCUUCACGCUCAACAGCCUUCACCAUCCACUCGCCGGAACUCACGCGGACACACACAUGAAACACACACAUACACAGAGUUGUUCUUGUUCUUUUACUCAAAAGAGAGGUCUUGAGUUCUGUUCGUUGUCCUGUUCAUAUCCCCAUCUUUUUGAGGUUGUCCGGUCAAGCUCGGAUCGGGGAAACAGUUUGGUGCUCGAGGUUGCCGGUUUGAGGAUCGUCGUAUCGAAUUCCGGUCACAACUGUCUCUUGUUUCAGUCCGUGUAACUGUUGGAAUUUUUAUUAAUUGAAAGAAAUUUCAGGUUUAUUUUUCACUUUCAUGUAUUUAUUGGGUCAUAACUAAUUUUGAUAUACAUGUGUUUAUGUGGUAAUAGUAAUUUGGAUCUGUUCUCUUCGAUUCCGGAAUUGGUUCGCUGAGUAUCUUUAUCGACAUGUGAUGCUUGCUUUCACUGGUCUUCCCUCAUUUUACUUG